GGGGAAUAUUGCACAAUGGGGGAAGCCCUGAUGCAGCGACGCCGCGUGGAGGAAGAAGGUCUUCGGAUUGUAAACUCCUGUUGUUGGGGAAGAUAAUGACGGUACCCAACAAGGAAGUGACGGCUAACUACGUGCCAGCAGCCGCGGUAAAACGUAGGUCACAAGCGUUGUCCGGAAUUACUGGGUGUAAAGGGAGCGCAGGCGGGAAGACAAGUUGGAAGUGAAAUCUAUGGGCUCAACCCAUAAACUGCUUUCAAAACUGUUUUUCUUGAGUAGUGCAGAGGUAGGCGGAAUUCCCGGUGUAGCGGUGGAAUGCGUAGAUAUCGGGAGGAACACCAGUGGCGAAGGCGGCCUACUGGGCACCAACUGACGCUGAGGCUCGAAAGUGUGGGUAGCAAACAGGAUUAGAUACCCUGGUAGUCCACACCGUAAACGAUGAUUACUAGGUGUUGGAGGAUUGACCCCUUCAGUGCCGCAGUUAACACAAUAAGUAAUCCACCUGGGGAGUACGACCGCAAGGUUGAAACUCAAAGGAAUUGACGGGGGCCCGCACAAGCAGUGGAGUAUGUGGUUUAAUUCGACGCAACGCGAAGAACCUUACCAAGUCUUGACAUCCCUUGACGAUGCUGGAAACAGUAUUUCUCUUCGGAGCAAGGAGACAGGUGGUGCAUGGUUGUCGUCAGCUCGUGUCGUGAGAUGUUGGGUUAAGUCCCGCAACGAGCGCAACCCUUAUGGUCAGUUACUACGCAAGAGGACUCUGGCCAGACUGCCGUUGACAAAACGGAGGAAGGUGGGGAUGACGUCAAAUCAUCAUGCCCUUUAUGACUUGGGCUACACACGUACUACAAUGGCGUAACAAAGGGAAGCGAACCUGCGAGGGUGAGCAAAUCCCAAAAAUAACGUCCCAGUUCGGACUGUAGUCUGCAACCCGACUACACGAAGCUGGAAUCGCUAGUAAUCGCGAAUCAGAAUGUCGCGGUGAAUACGUUCCCG
rnacentral:rRNA from 1 species